CCUACGGGAGGCAGCAGUGGGGAAUAUUGCGCAAUGGGCGAAAGCCUGAUGCAGCGAUGCCGCGUGAGUGAUGAAGGUCUUCGGAUCGUAAACCUCUGUCAGCAGGGAAGAACGGUCACUGUGCUAAUCAGCAGUGAAUUGACGGUACCUGCAAAGGAAGCACCGGCUAACUCCGUGCCAGCAGCCGCGGUAAUACGGAGGGUGCGAGCGUUAAUCGGAAUUACUGGGCGUAAAGCGCUCGUAGGCGGUAUGUUAAGUCAAGGGUGAAAUCCCCGCGCUCAACGUGGGAACUGCCUUUGAAACUGGCAAACUGGAGUGUCUGAGAGGAUAGUGGAAUUCCAGGUGUAGGGGUGAAAUGCGUAGAUAUCUGGAGGAACAUCAGUGGCGAAGGCGACUCUCUGGCACAUAACUGACGCGGAGGAGCGAAAGCGUGGGUAGCAAACAGGAUUAGAUACCCGGGUAGUC
rnacentral:rRNA from 1 species